rnacentral:rRNA from 1 species
UACGGAGGGUGCAAGCGUUGUCCGGAUUUAUUGGGUUUAAAGGGUGCGUAGGCGGCUAAUUAAGUCAGCGGUGAAAUUUCACAGCUCAACUGUGUGAACUGCCAUUGAUACUGGUUGGCUUGAGUACAGAUGAGGUAGGCGGAAUUGACAGUGUAGCGGUGAAAUGCUUAGAUAUUGUCAAGAACACCUAUUGCGAAGGCAGCUUACUAAACUGUAACUGACGCUGAGGCACGAAAGCGUGGGGAUCAAACAGG